GACGAACGCUGGCGGCGUGCCUAACACAUGCAAGUCGAGCGGAGUCGAUCGACGGAAGCCUUCGGGCGGAAGAUGGUUGACUUAGCGGCGGAUGGGUGAGUAACGCGUGGGCAACCUGCCUCGAAGACCGGGAUAACAGCCCGAAAGGGCUGCUAAUACCGGAUGUGGUCAAGGAUCCGCAUGGAUUUUUGAUUAAAGGGGAAACCCGUUUCGAGAUGGGCCCGCGUCCUAUCAGCUAGUUGGUGAGGUAAAAGCUCACCAAGGCGACGACGGGUAGCCGGCCUGAGAGGGUGACCGGCCACACUGGAACUGAGACACGGUCCAGACUCCUACGGGGGGCAGCAGUGGGGAAUCUUCCACAAUGGGCGAAAGCCUGAUGGAGCGACGCCGCGUGAGCGAAGAAGGCCUUCGGGUUGUAAAGCUCUGUCUGGAGGGACGAAGGAAGUGACGGUACCUCCGGAGGAAGCCACGGCUAACUACGUGCCAGCAGCCGCGGUAAAGUCACGUCG
rnacentral:rRNA from 1 species